rnacentral:rRNA from 1 species
UACGAAGGGGGCUAGCGUUGCUCGGAAUCACUGGGCGUAAAGCGCACGUAGGCGGACUCUUAAGUCGGUGGUGAAAUCCUGGAGCUCAACUCCAGAACUGCCUUCGAUACUGAGAGUCUCGAGUCCGGGAGAGGUGAGUGGAACUGCGAGUGUAGAGGUGAAAUUCGUAGAUAUUCGCAAGAACACCAGUGGCGAAGGCGGCUCACUGGCCCGGUACUGACGCUGAAGUGCGAAAGCGUGGGGAGCAAACAGG